rnacentral:rRNA from 1 species
GACGAACGCUGGCGGCGUGCUUAACACAUGCAAGUCGAACGGAAAGGCCCUUUCGGGGGUACUCGAGUGGCGAACGGGUGAGUAACACGUGGGUGAUCUGCCCUGCACUUCGGGAUAAGCUUGGGAAACUGGGUCUAAUACCGGAUAGGACUACGGACUGCAUGGUCUGUGGUGGAAAGCUUUUGCGGUGUGGGAUGGGCCCGCGGCCUAUCAGCUUGUUGGUGGGGUGAUGGCCUACCAAGGCGACGACGGGUAGCCGGCCUGAGAGGGUGUCCGGCCACACUGGGACUGAGAUACGGCCCAGACUCCUACGGGAGGCAGCAGUGGGGAAUAUUGCACAAUGGGCGCAAGCCUGAUGCAGCGACGCCGCGUGGGGA